rnacentral:rRNA from 1 species
UUGUCUUUUAAAUAAAGACCAGUAUGAAUGGCAAGACGAAAGUUCAACUGUCUCCCUAAAUUAAUCAAUGAAAUUGAUCUUCCCGUGCAGAAGCGGGAAUAUAAAUAUAAGACGAGAAGACCCUAUGGAGCUUUAAAUAUAUGGUCAAUUGUAUAUUACAUGAACCAAAAGGUAAAAUAUUAAAUAAAACAUAGUGAUCAAAAUUUUAGGUUGGGGCGACCACGGAGAAAAACAAAACCUCCGAGAUGAAAAAAUAUCUUAACUUAUGAACUACAGUUCUAAAAAAUAAAAUAUUUAACAUAAUUGAUCCAAUAUAUUGAUCAACGAACCAAGUUACCCUAGGGAUAACAGCGCAAUCCUUUCCAAGAGUUCCUAUCGACGAAUGGGUUUACGACCUCGAUGUUGGAUCAGGACACCCCGAUGGUGUAGCCGCUAUUAAAGGUUCGUUUGUUCAACGAUUAAAGU